UACGUAGGGGGCUAGCGUUGUCCGGAAUCAUUGGGCGUAAAGCGCGCGUAGGCGGCCCGGUCAGUCCGUUGUGAAAGUCAAAGGCUCAACCUUUGAAAGCCGAUGGAUACUGCCGGGCUGGAGUCCGGAAGAGGCGAGUGGAAUUCCUGGUGUAGCGGUGGAAUGCGCAGAUAUCAGGAGGAACACCAAUAGCGAAGGCAGCUCGCUGGGACGGUACUGACGCUGAGGCGCGAAAGCGUGGGGAGCGAACAGG
rnacentral:rRNA from 1 species